AACGAACGCUGGCGGCAGGCCUAACACAUGCAAGUCGAGCGGGGUUUUCGGACCUAGCGGCGGACGGGUGAGUAAUGCGUAGGAAGCUGCCCGAUAGAGGGGGAUACCAGUUGGAAACGACUGUUAAUACCGCAUAAUGUCUACGGACCAAAGUGUGGGACCUUCGGGCCACAUGCUAUCGGAUGCGCCUACGUGGGAUUAGCUAGUUGGUGAGGUAAUGGCUCACCAAGGCGACGAUCUCUAGCUGGUUUGAGAGGAUGAUCAGCCACACUGGAACUGAGACACGGUCCAGACUCCUACGGGAGGAAGCAGUGGGGAAUAUUGGACAAUGGGCGCAAGCCUGAUCCAGCCAUGCCGCGUGUGUGAAGAAGGCCUUCGGGUUGUAAAGCACUUUCAGCGAGGAGGAAGGGUGGUGUGUUAAUAGCACUCAGCUUUGACGUUACCUACAGAAGAAGCACCGGCUAACUCUGUGCAGCAGCCGCCGUAACAC
rnacentral:rRNA from 1 species